UAGCUUCGUAGUGACUGCGGAGGUCAUUAAUUGAAUCAACAUGUUUCUCAGCAUGAUAUUUCAAAACCCCACCUGUGUAUCUGACCUGUUGCUUCCGUGCUGCACAUGCCCGCGAAGGUGUGCCUCCUGGUCCGGAGUACGCCACGUACUGCGCACCCCGGGGGGUCGGCACGGGAGGUUGACCGUAAGAAACUCUUGCCUUUGAAUGUCUUCUGUCUGAACUGUAUUACACAAAGAGUUAAAACUUUCAACAACGGAUCUCUUGGUUCUCGCAUCGAUGAAGAACGCAGCGAAAUGCGAUAAGUAGUGUGAAUUGCAGAAUUCCGUGAAUCAUCGAAUCUUUGAACGCACAUUGCGCCUCCUGGUAUUCCGGGAGGCAUGCCUGUCCGAGCGUCACUAAAAUCAACUCGAGCACUUUUGCACGGUCGUGGAGGAAGAGUCCGUCUCGUCGCGGUCUCCCCCCCGAAAAUCAACGGCGGAGAGUCACUGGCACCUGGCGUAGUAGCAUCGUUCGCUGAUCAACCAGUGUCGUUCCUGCCGGCAAACCCCCCACAAUUCUCUUGAUUGACCUCGGAUCAGGUAGGGAUACCCGCUGAACUUAAGCAUAUCAAAACCGGGGAGGAAAGA
rnacentral:rRNA from 1 species